GCAGUCUGAAACUACGACGUGCAUGAAGCUGGAAUCGCUAGUAAUCGCAAAUCAGAAUGUUGCGGUGAAUACGUUCCCGGGUCUUGUACACACCGCCCGUCACACCAUGGGAGUCGGAAAUGCCCGAAGUCUGUGACCGAACCGAAAGGAAGGGGCAGCCGAAGGCAGGUCGGAUGACUGGGGUGAAGUCGUAACAAGGUAGC
rnacentral:rRNA from 1 species